GACGAACGCUGGCGGCGUGCUUAACACAUGCAAGUCGAACGAAGUGGCGAACGGGUGAGUAACGCGUAAUCAACCUGCCCUUCAGGGGGGGACAACAGUUGGAAACGACUGCUAAUACCGCAUAAGGAAGGAGGGGAGUGCGUCUGAUUAGCUAGUUGGAGGGGUAACGGCCCACCAAGGCGAGGAUUAGUAGCCGGUCUGAGAGGAGGAACUGACCCAUUGGGACUGAUACACGGCCCAGACUCCUUCGGGAGGCAGCAGUGGGGAAUCUUCCGCAAUGGACGAAAGUCUGACGGAGCAACGCCGCGUGAGUGAUGACGGCCUUCGGGUUGUAAAGCUCUGUUAAUCGGGACGCGGUACCGGAAUAGAAAGCCACGGCUAACUACGUGCCAGCAGCCGCGGUAAUUC
rnacentral:rRNA from 1 species